UCGAAGCAUGGUACGUUUUUUUUUUAUUUCAGGGGUGGUCUUUCACUUUUAUCUUUAGUGAAAAUCCUCUCCAAUCUCUCCAAUAUUACCUUUUAAUAUCAAAGCUGUCAGACGUUUGACUGUCAGUCUCUUUUUAAUAUUGGACAAUUGUCUGUUUUGUAAGUUAAACAGAUCUGAAGGAUAGCAACAUCUACUCUAUGCACGUAUGUGCCCAGUUUGUCUUAAUACACAAUUGACUAAAGUGACAACACAAAGCACCUUUAAAGAAUGGAAUGUAAAUCUGUACCAGUGGCAGUUCAUUAUUGCAUUAAAGAUUUCUUUACAGCCCAGUAUUUACAAUGUAUUUUACAUGAGUUUUGAUUAGUCUCUCAAAGAUUUCCCAAGUGGGCCUCAUGAAAGAAUUUGCAGAAAAAGAAUUGGUAGCAUGUUUCUCCACCAUGAAAUUAUUAUGUAGACAAACUGUAUAUAGACAGUAACUGACACUGACAUACCAAAGUAAAAAGCAAGAGUGUGGUGGUUGUGGUAUAUGUACAUUAUCUCCUACAGUAAAUACUGUACAGUACACAGAAAGACUGUAGAACUUUUAAUCAAACAAAACAAAAUUUUAGCUGCCCAGCCUUAAUUCAAAUGCUCUUGACCAAAGCUCUGUUAUCUUUGGUCAGUGUGGAGGAGCAAGCUGCUCAAACAUUGUCAGCUCAGUUGCUGGGAAAAGGCAUGGCAGGAGUACAUUCCCACUCUGGCAGCAGAUCUAUCACUAAAUGAGCAGAGAGUACUUUGCUUCAACUCAGACCAGAACAAGAUUGGAACAUGGAGAGAUGGUAGCCUUUGAGGAGAAACAUGAGUGAGAAAAAAGGCAGACAUAGAAGAGAAGAGCACGAGCACAUUAAAACUGAUCUUUGAUCUACGGAAGUGAGAAGACCCC